rnacentral:tRNA from 1 species
GGCGCUGUGGUGUAGUGGGUAAAGCCAUGGGCUGCAGUGCUGGCAUCCCAUAUAUGCACUGGUUCUAGUCCAGUCUACUCCA